GUGAAUGUUAGACAUCAUUAUUAUUAUAUAAAAAUUUCAUUAAAAAAAUAAAUAUUACAUUAAAUUUAUGAUAGAAUUAUAUAACACAUAAAAAUAACAUAUUAUGAAAAACAAAGUCAAUCCAUGAUUCUUUCCAAAAGUCAUUCUAUACUUUAAGUUAAAACAAGAAAAACAAAUUUUUCGUUAUAUUAAAAAAAUGCCAUUCC
rnacentral:lncRNA from 1 species